AUUGAACGCUGGCGGCAUGCCUUACACACGCAAGUCGAACGGCAGCACGGGUGCUUGCACCUGGUGGCGAGUGGCGAACGGGUGAGUAAUACAUCGGAACGUACCUUAUCGUGGGGGAUAACGCAGCGAAAGCUGUGCUAAUACCGCAUACGCCCUGAGGGGGAAAGCGGGGGAUCGCAAGACCUCGCGCGAUUAGAGCGGCCGAUGCCUGAUUAGCUAGCUGGUGGGGUAAAAGCCCACCAAGGCGACGAUCAGUAGCUGGUCUGAGAGGACGAUCAGCCACACUGGGACUAAGACACGGCCCAGACUCCUACGGGAGGCAGCAGUGGGGAAUUUUGGACAAUGGGGGCAACCCUGAUCCAGCAAUGCCGCGUGAGUGAAGAAGGCCUUCGGGUUGUAAAGCUCUUUUGUCAGGGAAGAAACACCGGCUCUAACACAGUCCGGGAAUGACGGUACCUGAAGAAUAAGCACCGGCUAACUACGUGCCAGCCGCCGCAGUAA
rnacentral:rRNA from 1 species